rnacentral:tRNA from 1 species
UCCCUGGUGGCUCAGAUGGUAAAGCAUCUGCCUGAUAUGCAGGAGACCCGGGUUUGAUCCCUGGGUUGGGAA